GUGGGAGCCGGCUGGCUGGCGAUAGCGAUCCGUCAGUCGGCAUCUCCAUUGGCUGACACAACGCUAUCGCCAGCCAGCCGGCUCCCAC
rnacentral:misc_RNA from 1 species